GCGGAAGUGCUGGAAUCGGCAGACAGGCUUGUUUGAGGGGCAAGUGCCCAGUAGGGCGUGCGGGUUCAAGUCCCGCCUUCCGCACCA
rnacentral:tRNA from 1 species